rnacentral:rRNA from 1 species
GACAGAGGGUGCGAACGUUGCUCGGAAUUACUGGGCGUAAAGCGCGUGUAGGCGGACCAUUAAGUCAGGUGUGAAAUCCCUGGGCUCAACCCAGGAACUGCACUUGAAACUGGCGGUCUUGAGUGAUGGAGAGGGAUGCGGAAUUCCCGGUGUAGAGGUGAAAUUCGUAGAUAUCGGGAGGAACACCAGUGGCGAAGGCGGCAUCCUGGACAUUGACUGACGCUGAGACGCGAAAGCGUGGGGAGCAAACAGG